rnacentral:tRNA from 1 species
GGAGAGGUGACUGAGUGGCCGAAAGUGGCACACUGCUAAUGUGUUAGAGGGUAAAACCUCUCGAGGGUUCGAAUCCCUCCCUCUCCG